rnacentral:rRNA from 1 species
GGGUGCGAUCAUACCAACGUUAAUGCACCGGAUCCCAUCAGAACUCUGCAGUUAAGUGCGCUUUGUCUAGAGUAGUACUUGGAUGGGUGAGCUCCUGGGAAGUCCUAGUGUUGCACCCU